rnacentral:rRNA from 1 species
AUUGAACGCUGGCGGCAUGCCUUACACAUGCAAGUCGAACGGUAACGCGGGGCAACCUGGCGACGAGUGGCGAACGGGUGAGUAAUGUAUCGGAACGUGCCCAGUUGUGGGGGAUAACUGCUCGAAAGAGCAGCUAAUACCGCAUACGACCUGAGGGUGAAAGCGGGGGAUCGCAAGACCUCGCGCAAUUGGAGCGGCCGAUAUCAGAUUAGGUAGUUGGUGGGGUAAAGGCCCACCAAGCCAACGAUCUGUAGCUGGUCUGAGAGGACGACCAGCCACACUGGGGCUGAGACACGGCCCAUACUCCUACGGGAGGCAGCAGUGGGGAAUUUUGGACAAUGGACGCAAGUCUGAUCCAGCCAUGCCGCGUGCGGGAAGAAGGCCUUCGGGUUGUAAACCGCUUUUGUCAGGGAAGAAAAGGGCGACUCUAAUACAGUUGCCUCAUGACGGUACCUGAAGAAUAAGCACCGGCUAACUACGUGCCAGCCGCCGCGGUAAAAC